AAGAACCAUUGAGGAAACGCUCGACUUUUGGGUUAGCUUUCAAAACAUGCUGAGAUAAAUUUCCUGAAUGCAGUAAAUUAUGUAUGUAAAACAAAAAAAUAAUUCAUAAUGUUAUAUGUAUGGCUAGCUGUUGCUUUAACUGUUGUCAUCGUAGCCAUACACUAUACUGUCUGCCUGGUUCACCUAAAAGAGCCCUGCUAUUGACAUGGUGUACAGCUACGGCUUCGGAUCCUGUCUUCACGAUGACGAGCCGACGUGGACUGGCCUCCCAGUCCAGUUGGGAUAACCUGACACGCCCCUGCAUGGACUGAUGAUAACGAUAGUGGUUGUUUCGUUUGUGUCAGUUUGAAUAAAUUAUUUGGUAAUUUAA